rnacentral:rRNA from 1 species
UACGGGGGAGCAAGCGUUGUUCGGAUUUACUGGCGUAAAGGGCGCGUAGGCGGUCAGCACAAGUCAGUUGUGAAAUCUCCGGGCUUAACUCGGAAAGGUCAACUGAUACUGUGCGACUAGAGUGCAGAAGGGGCAACUGGAAUUCUCGGUGUAGCGGUGAAAUGCGUAGAUAUCGAGAGGAACACCUGCGGCGAAGGCGGGUUGCUGGGCUGACACUGACGCUGAGGCGCGAAAGCCAGGGGAGCAAACGGG